rnacentral:rRNA from 1 species
AUUGAACGCUGGCGGCAGGCCUAACACAUGCAAGUCGAGCGAGCGGCGGACGGGUGAGUAAUGUAUGGGGACUGUCAGCUAGAGGGGGAUAACUACUGGAAACGGUGGCUAAUACCGCAUACUAUCGGAUAACCCAUAUGGGAUUAGCUAGUAGGUGGGGGAAAGGCUCACCUAGGCGACGAUCUCUAGCUGGUCUGAGAGGGUGAUCAGCCACACUGGGACGUAGACAUGGCCCAGACUCCUACGGAGGAAGCAGUGGUGAAUAUUGCACAAUGGGCUCAAGCCUGAUGCAGCCAUGCCGAGUGUAUGAAGAAGGCCUUGGGGUUGUAAGGUACUUUCAGCGGGGAGGCGUUACCCGCAGAAGAAGCACCGGCUAACGCCGUGCCAGAAGCCGCGGUAAUUC